GACGAACGCUGGCGGCGUGCUUAACACAUGCAAGUCGAACGGAAAGGCCCUGCUUUUGUGGGGUGCUCGAGUGGCGAACGGGUGAGUAAAACGUGAGUAACCUGCCCUUGACUUUGGGAUAACUUCAGGAAACUGGGGCUAAUACCGGAUAGGAGCUCCUGCUGCAUGGUGGGGGUUGGAAAGUUUCGGCGGUUGGGGAUGGACUCGCGGCUUAUCAGCUUGUUGGUGGGGUAGUGGCUUACCAAGGCUUUGACGGGUAGCCGGCCUGAGAGGGUGACCGGCCACAUUGGGACUGAGAUACGGCCCAGACUCCUACGGGCGGCAGCAGUGGGGAAUAUUGCACAGUGGGCGGAAGCCUGAUGCAGCAACGCCGCGUGCGGGAUGACGGCCUUCGGGUUGUAAACCGCUUUCGCCUGUGACGAAGCGUGAGUGACGGUAAUGGGUAAAGAAGCACCGGCUAACUACGUG
rnacentral:rRNA from 1 species